rnacentral:rRNA from 1 species
CCUGAAUCCUGGAUUAGGAAGGCCCACAUGGAGACUUUCGGCAGUUGGUUGAGAAAACAUUUAAUGAAUGACAAUGAUGUUGUAGAUCAGCUGUACAUGUUGGCCAAGACACCAUCUUCGAUUAUAACGACUUUCCAAGGGUACGAGAUAAAUGGGAAUACAUUUUACACGAUCGCCCAAGAUAAAAAGAGCACCAACCAAAACAGUGGUGUCCGCUUUGAUGCAGCAACCGAGAAUGGGCAAAAGGUCACAUAUUAUGGUUACAUAGAGGAGAUAUGGGAACUUGACUAUGGACCCUCCUUUAAGGUCCCUUUGUUCCGGUGCAAAUGGUUCAAGCUAACAGGAGGUGGGGUAAAGGUGGACCAGCAAUACGGAAUGACAAUGGUGGAUUUCAACAAUCUUGGUUACCUUGACGAACCAUUCGUCCUAGCGAAAGAUGUCGCUCAGGUUUUCUAUGUGAAGGACAUGAGUAGCAAACCGAGGAAACGGAAAGAUAAGAAAACGAUCAGUACAUCAUGCGAUGAUCCAAAGCGCCACAUUGUUCUUUCAGGGAAAAGAAACAUCGUGGGAGUGGAGGACAAGACAGACAUGUCAGAAGAUUAUAAUAUGUUUGCUGAAAUUCCACCCUUCAAAGUGAACACCGACCCAAGCAUUAAGUUAAAUGAUGAGGAUGCUCCAUGGAUACGGCACAAUCGUAAGCAAGCAGGGACACAA